AUUGAACGCUGGCGGCAGGCCUAACACAUGCAAGUCGAGCGGAGCGGCGGACGGGUGAGUAAUGCCUAGGAAUCUGCAUGGUCGUGGGGGAUAACGUCCGGAAACUGGCGCUAAUACCGCAUACUAUCAGAUGAGCCUAGGUCGGAUUAGAUAGUUGGUGGGGUAAAGGCCUACAAAGGCGACGAUCCGUAACUGGUCUGAGAGGAUGAUCAGUCAAACUGGAACUGAGAAACGGCACAGACUCCUACGGUAGGCAGCAGUGGGGAAUAUUGGACAAUGGGCGAAAGCCUGAGCCAGCCAUGCCGCGUGUGUGAAGAAGGUCUUCGGAUUGUAAAGCACUUUAAGUUGGGAGGCGUUACCAACAGAAUAAGCACCGGCUAACUUCGUGCCAGCAGCCGCGGUAAUUC
rnacentral:rRNA from 1 species